rnacentral:snoRNA from 1 species
GUACAAUGAUGAUCCAAUCUUUUGGUCCGUGUUUAUGAGGUGGAUUCAAGACCCACCACGUGAGUUC